rnacentral:lncRNA from 13 species
CAUGACAAAAGGGCAGCCAAUCCAAUAACCCCACAGAUGUGCACUUCCUGGAGGGAAAGUACAUUGAGAGAGCAUGAAAGUUUCUAUUUUUACUCACUCUGGCAGAAAAAGAGAAGCUGGAGAACCACUUUUAAAACAAUGCCUUAAUAUAACACAGAGGAGAAAAACAACUAGGCCCUGGAAUAGCACCUAACAAGUGUACUGCUGGGCUCUUCUGGUUAAUGGGUUCUGGAUCAGAACAAAAUAAGAACCUUACCGGGAGCCUGGAUAGUACCUCUCAUCUCGGUGCACUCACCCACCCCUACCACUCGCCGCCAGGAGGAAGAGUAAGAGGAGAGGCUCCAUUGUCUUCCUCACUCCCCUCUAACCUACAGGCAGGUGCACUGGAGUUUUGAGGCUUGACAUAAAUAGGUCUAAAUGACAACCUGCUGUUUGGAGAAACUCCUGGGCCCGUUCAGGUGGAUAUUACAGAUUGUUCCGAUAGAAAUGUAUUGUGUAGAACAGAUAUGAUGGUUUUCCAGAUAGAAUAGGGAAUUGUGUCAGCCUUAUUCAUUAUAUUUCUAUCUGCAAUGCUCAGAACGUUUCACAUCACUGAAUACACCACCUGUGUAACGGGCAUGGAGUGGUUUGGUCCUGCCUGAGGUGUAUGUGCAU